UAAAUAUAUUGAAUGAAGAGUUUGAUCCUGGCUCAGGAUGAACGCUGACAGAAUGCUUAACACAUGCAAGUCUUUGGCGAAGCUGUGCUUGCACAGCCUAGCCAAGGCGGACGGGUGAGUAACGCGUAAGGAACUUGCCCUGCAGUCAGGGAUAACAGACGGAAACGACUGAUAAGACCUGGUAAAGUCAGGCGGGCUCAUGUCCAGCCUGAUGAAAAGAGAUGCUGCAGGAGAGCCUUGCGUCCUAUUAGCUUGUUGGUGGGGUAACGGCCCACCAAGGCGAUGAUAGGUAGCCGGCCUGAGAGGGUGGACGGCCACAAGGGGACUGAGAUACGGCCCUUACUCCUACGGGAGGCAGCAGUGGGGAAUAUUGGACAAUGGGGGCAACCCUGAUCCAGCAAUUCUGUGUGCACGAUGAAGGUUUUCGGAUUGUAAAGUGCUUUCAGCAGGGAAGAAAAAAAUGACGGUACCUGCAGAAGAAGCGACGGCUAAAUACGUGCCAGCAGCCGCGGUAAUACGUAUGUCGCAAGCGUUAUCCGGAAUUAUUGGGCAUAAAGGGCAUCUAGGCGGCCAGAUAAGUCUGGGGUGAAAACUUGCGGCUCAACCGCAAGCCUGCCCUGGAAACUAUGUGGCUAGAGUACUGGAGAGGUGGACGGAACUGCACGAGUAGAGGUGAAAUUCGUAGAUAUGUGCAGGAAUGCCGAUGAUGAAGAUAGUUCACUGGACGGUAACUGACGCUGAAGUGCGAAAGCUAGGGGAGCAAACAGGAUUAGAUACCCUGGUAGUCCUAGCUGUAAACGAUGAUUACUGGGUGUGGGCAUGAAGAGUGUCCGUGCCGAAGCUAAUGCGAUAAGUAAUCCGCCUGGGGAGUACGGCCGCAAGGCUGAAACUCAAAGGAAUUGACGGGGACCCGCACAAGCGGUGGAGCAUGUGGUUUAAUUCGACGCAACGCGAGGAACCUUACCAGAUCUUGACAUCCUGCGAAGGCCUGCGAGAGCAGGCUGUGCCUCCGGGAACGCAGAGACAGGUGGUGCAUGGCUGUCGACAGCUCGUGUCGUGAGAUGUUGGGUUAAGUCCCGCAACGAGCGCAACCCCUAUUGCUAGUUGCCAUCAUUAGGUUGGGAACUCUAGCAAGACUGCCUGCGAAGAGCAGGAGGAAGGUGGGGAUGACGUCAAGUCAUCAUGCCCCUUAUGAUCUGGGCUACACACGUGCUACAAUGGCCGGUACAGAGAGCCGCAAGGCGGCAACGCCAAGCCAAUCUUUAAAGCCGGUCCAAGUUCGGAUUGAAGUCUGCAACUCGACUUCAUGAAGCUGGAAUCGCUAGUAAUCGCAGAUCAGCAAUGCUGCGGUGAAUACGUUCUCGGGUCUUGUACACACCGCCCGUCACACCACGAGAGUUGUCUGCACCUGAAGCUGCCGGUCCAACCGCAAGGAGGAAAGCAUCUAAGGUGUGGAUAGUGAUUGGGGUGAAGUCGUAACAAGGUAUCCGUACCGGAAGGUGCGGAUGGAUCACCUCCUUUCUAAGGAG
rnacentral:rRNA from 1 species